CCAGGUGGAUCCCAGGUGAAUCCCAGGUGGAUUUCAGCCAUCCCAGCACUGCCAGGUGGAUCCCAGGUGAAUUCCAGGUAGAUCCCAGCACUGCCAGGGAAAGCUCAGGUGGAUCCCAGGUGAAUCCCAGGUGGAUUUCAGCCACCCCAGGACUGCCAGGUGGAUCCCAGCACUGUCAGGUGGAUCUCAGGUGGAUCCCAGCCCCCCAGCACUGCCUGGCCGUGUGUCCCUCUCCCUUCCCCAGCCCCUGUCCCUCCUGUGUCUGUUCCCAAAGCUGCUGUGGCCACCCGGGCUCGCAGGCAGCCCCAAGGUGCCUGUGCCUGACCCCAGCAGGUCCCAGGAGCACUGAGGUGGCCCAGGGUCAGUGCAGGGCUGAGUUCACCACGAAUCCAGAGGAAAUUCCAGGGCUGGAGCCGUGCACUCCUUCAUUUGUCAUCGGCCCUGAGUGUUUCUUCUCUCUGGGCUCCAGAUCCAGCAGGACUCGAGGCUUUGUUUGCCUUCAGAGCUUGCAUAUUUUUGUUUUUUAUUCCUCCAAGUGACCUCGUGCUGGAGCUGUGGAGGAGCUCCAUGCACAGAGAGCACAAGGAGGCUUUCUGCUGCCAGGAGAGAGCUUUGCCAUCCCCUGUCUCCAGCCAUCAUCCUUUCCAUGAUGCAAACACUCCCUCCCUCCCACCCAGAUGUCUCACAGGCUCCCAGGGAUGGAGCUCUUGGCUUUCCCCAAAAACCAUGGCAGAAACUGGGACUGCAGAGUGAAAAAAGGAAUUUUUUUAUUAUUUUUUUUUAAAUGUGUUCCAUGGAAAGUUGUCGCUUUGCCUCUGGUUUCCUGACGGAGAAAUGGAAGGGGAAGGUGCUCAUUUCUGGAGCUGUCAGGGUGGACAGGAGAUCAAGGGCUCGCAGCAGCUCUGCUGCAGAGGGGAGAGGGCUUGGAGCAGAAGGGGUUGGAGCAGGGAUUUGGAGCAGACGGGCUGGAGCACAAGGAUUUGGAGCAGAAGGAUUGGAGCAGAAGGAUU